rnacentral:rRNA from 1 species
AUGGCACCAUAUCCACUGAAUAAUGCUUCAAAUUCUUCCUAUAUGCUACUUCGAGUGUUGUUCUUUCGUUUGGUCCUUGGUCUUCAAGUUGAGUCUUCCCUUUCCAUGGAGAUAAUUGCCUUUUGGUUGUGGCUCCAACAAGGGAAUGGCCAAGUUGGUUACCUUCAGCACAUAUACUCUCUUGGUGACAACCAUUUUCGCGCAAUUGUUUCUUCUGCAAAACGUUUUCUGGAAGUUCUUCAUUUUGCAUUCGGUGGUUCAGAGGCCAGAUCUAUACCAAGAAGUGACUUUCAGAACCAAGCUAUUGAAGGAAUUUCUCUCUACCUCAAUACUAUCUGUUAUGAGGCCUUAGAAGAUCUUCGAGAAAGGAUAGAGAUGAAUUUUGUCCGUAAUCAGAUGACAUACCUACGUCGAGAAGCCUAUGGACAGUCCAGGACUGAUCGGGUUCCUACUGCAAGCUCGAUGACAGAUCUAUACCAAGAGGCCUAUGGAGAAUCAUCGCAUGAACAGAUUCCUAAUAUCUCAAUGACAGAUCUAUACCAAGAGGCCUAUGGAGAAUCAUCACAUGAACAGAUUCCUAAUAGCUCGAUGACAGAUCUAUACCAAGAGGCCUAUGGAGAAUCAUCGCAUGAACAAAUUCCUAAUAGCUCAAAACACCUUCUUACCAAGAUCAAGGCUUUGUAUGCAAACAAUCCGAAGCAUCAUGGAGAAGGCACAAGUUCUAGAAAUAUCCGUUUUCAAACAAGUCAAAUGCGUCAUGGAGAAGGCUCAAAUUCAAGAAAUAUCCAUCCUCAAACAAGUCGUAUGCUCCACCAUGAUACAGAGGACGAAGUAUAUGAUUAUCAGCCAACCUCCCGUUUGGUCACAUUGCUGGAUAAGUUGAGCUUAAGAGAGAACCAUAAUGAUGCAAUCACGCAAGACCUAUCUGAUGUUCCACCUGAUGAGAGAACUUUGUUCGUGACAUUUUCUAAUGGCUAUCCACUGACCAAGGAUGAACUACAUGAAUUUUUUAUGAGUAGUGGAGGCCUCUGGUUAAGAGCUACGACAUCGACACCACGGACCUACUCAGCUCUCGCUUCAGGGCUACGUCGAACUCUCUAUCACCAAGGGUGCAGGCUCUAG